rnacentral:rRNA from 1 species
AUUGAACGCUGGCGGCAGGCCUAACACAUGCAAGUCGAACGGUAACAGGAAGAAGCUUGCUUCUUUGCUGACGAGUGGCGGACGGGUGAGUAAUGUCUGGGAAACUGCCUGAUGGAGGGGGAUAACUACUGGAAACGGUAGCUAAUACCGCAUAACGUCGCAAGACCAAAGAGGGGGACCUUCGGGCCUCUUGCCCUCGGAUGUGCCCAGAUGGGAUUAGCUAGUAGGUGGGGUAACGGCUCACCUAGGCGACGAUCCCUAGCUGGUCUGAGAGGAUGAUCAGCCACACUGGAACUGAGACACGGUCCAGACUCCUACGGGAGGCAGCAGUGGGGAAUAUUGCACAAUGGGCGCAAGCCUGAUGCAGCCAUGCCGCGUGGAUGAAGAAGGCCUUCGGGUUGUAAAGUACUUUCAGCGGGGAGGAAGGGAGUAAGGUUAAUACCUUGGCUUAUUGACGUUACCCGAAGAAGAAGCACCGGCUAACUCCGUG